rnacentral:rRNA from 1 species
AGUAAGGAAUAUUGGUCAAUGGACGAAAGUCUGAACCAGCCAUGCCGCGUGGAGGAUGAAGGUCCUCUGGAUUGUAAACUUCUUUUAUAUGGGACGAAAAAAGGCCUUUCUAGGUCGUCUGACGGUACCAUAUGAAUAAGCACCGGCUAACUCCGUGCCAGCAGCCGCGGUAAUACGGAGGGUGCAAGCGUUAUCCGGAUUCACUGGGUUUAAAGGGUGCGUAGGUGGGUUGGUAAGUCAGUGGUGAAAUCUCCGAGCUUAACUUGGAAACUGCCAUUGAUACUAUCAGUCUUGAAUAUUGUGGAGGUUAGCGGAAUAUGUCAUGUAGCGGUGAAAUGCUUAGAUAUGACAUAGAACACCAAUUGCGAAGGCAGCUGGCUACACAUAUAUUGACACUGAGGCACGAAGAGCGUGGGGAUCAAACAGG